AGAAUGGAUGAGCAAUGGGGUCUUACUGUAUAGCACAGGGAAGUGUAUCCAAUAUUUUGUAGAACAUAGAACAUGAUGAACAUGAUAGAACAUGAUGGAAGAUAGUAUAAAAAAAGAAUGUGUGCAUGUAUAUAUAUAUGUAUAUAUAUAUAUAUAUAUAUAUAUAUANACCCCACCACAAAACCUCUUGUGUGAGUUUUGUUUUGAAUGCCUUCUCCCUUCCUGAGACUCUUCUUUGUUCCUGAGCAUUUUGUGCUAUUACUGGAGACUAACCAAAGCCUCUGUGAUGAUCUGCGGUAUGACAGUGGGGCACAGACACUGUUCAUUGUCAGUCGUCUUCAUCCAUAGUUUGUUCAGGGUAUGUGAAGGAAUAGCCCUGUGCAUGUUUUAGAAUUUCUGGUUAGGGGUCUGAGGGAAGGACCCACUGCAGCCUACCGUAGAUGAUCAUUGUCAUAUCAGGUGGCACUAAUUCAGAGGUGACACAAUAGACUGGCAUUUCCCAGAUCUGCCGGAAUGGGUGACUAACUCUCUGGACUUAAUACUCUAAGAAAUGGAAGAAACUUUCAAACUUUCAUCUUUAUAUGACAGUCAGAGGUAUGUCCUGGUGUGGAAUUUAUAAUCAAGAUUAACAUUCUGGGGCACAGGAAUAGGCAUGGCUCAACAUUGCAGUCAGCUCUCAUGGUUUCUGUGGCAUGGAUCCAGACAUGGCAUGGGAAAGGUUUGCCUCUGCUCCAUGAUGCCAGGGCUCUAGCCAGAGGUCUCAAAGGCCAGGGCCUGGCAUUGUAGGAAGGCAUGUGUCUUGCAGUUGAUGCUGGUCAGCUGGAGCCUCACUGGGGCUGCUGUCUGGGGCACCCACAUGGGGCCUCCUCAUGGGGCCUGCAUUUCCUCCCAACACGGCUGCCAGGCCCCAAAGGCAAGCAUCCUGCGGGGAAGGUGGGAGCUGCAUUGCAUCUUAUGACCCAGCAUCGCUUCCACCCUCCUACUGAGUUUAAAUGGGGGGACCUAGACCCCACUUAACAGUACAGGUGUGUCAUCACUGCCUUUUAAGGAAGGGGGCAGGAUACAGAAGCGUGGCCAUCCUUGGAAAACAUCGUCCACCCGGUGCCUGGGGACCACAGCUCUGCACACCACAUCCCCUCCCAUAUGUCAGUAAGCUCCCUUCCUGCCCCAAGACCUGUUAAAUCUCACCUCACAAAACCUUCAGCUCAGAAUCCAGGGCCUCACCAUCUAAAUCAGAUUCAGGUGCAGAAGGGGCAUCUCUGGUGUGGUUUUGUAUAGCUCCCCUAGUACACAGCUCCUCAGUCUGAAGACCUGGGAGCUAAGGGACAAGUUAUCUGCCCCCCGCCCCAUACACACACAGUGAUGGGACAGGCGUCAGCAAAGCUGCGUACAGAGCCGCCUAUUCAGGAAGGGCUGGGACGGGAAGCCAGCCUGAAGGAUCACUGGUCUGCAGAAUCUCUGAAACGCCGCACGGUAUGGGGGGCAACGGCUUGCCCACAGCUUAGUCCUGCUGCCUAGAAAUGAUGCCUUGUGCCUCUGGCCUUCCGUCUGAGUCCAUCUUCCUCUUUCAUAACAAAGGGCCAGGUGUGUGGAGUCAUUUUCCCAGCCUGACUUCUGCUUGUGGUACUUUGGGCUUCCAGUGGCCUCUUUGCAUUAGAACCAUCUCUGUCCAGUUUAAUCUGAGCCCAAUUUGCUUAAAAGCCUGACUCUUAUUGAAGUUCACUCUGUGCGACAAAAGCUACACCCGUAAAUCUCUCUGAGAUAAGCCCUGGGAUGUCACCCUUAAGGUGGUCCAUCCAGUGACGUGAAACAGGAUCUGAGAGGCGUGCCCUCAGCAUCCUUGGCCUUUUGUCUGCUGGCACCUUUCUCUGAGGCGCUGAUUUACAUCUUUCUGAGACCUUCCUAAAGGGUUUUAUCGUGUAACCUCAGCCUCAUCGGUGAAAGUUAUUUUCUGGUGGAAUUCAUUAUUCUCUCUCCUAGAAGAGCAUUCAAUGACAAGUUUGUGAAAUUACUUUUUUCCCGAAACAACAAUUAGAGUAUGACCAAUCGUGUUCACAGUUCUUAUAUGGCAUGAGCUUGCAAAUGGGUAAGUCUUGGAUGAAUGUGUGAUGUCUUGAGAACUUGAUGAAAAUACAAAAAAUGUCCAGACCUGUGAGCUUACCAGAGCUGUGUUGGGUGCUCAGUCACUUUUUCAUGGACCCCUGUAUUCUCACUCAUGCAAAAGGCAUCUCACUUUCUCAUGUCUGCACACAGAAUUUUUUUUUUCUUUCUAGGGCCACAUCUGCAGCAUAAGGAAGUUCCUAGGCUAAGGGGUCAAAUAAGAGCUUCAGCUGCUGGCCUACACCACAGCCACGGCAAUACCGGAUGCUUAACCUACUGAGCAAGGUCAGAGAUCGAACUCGCAUCCUCAUGGACAGUAUAUAGCCUUCUUAACCCCUGAGCUACAGUGGGAACUCCCAGAAUUUCUUAUUAUCACAGCCAUUCUAGGUUCUUCCCUGUGAGCAUCUUUGCUGUAGACAUCUUAGUUAGAAACACUUUUUGGUCACAUAACUCAUUGGCCCUAAGGCAUUUUUGCCAUAGAAGAUAAAAUAAUGAAAGAUAAAAGAGGGGCACUAAAAAGGAGCUCUCGCUGUGGCCAGCAGGUUGAGGAUCCAGUGUGGUCUCUGAAGUGGCAAGGGUUUGAUCCCUGGCCUGGCGCAGUGGGUUAAGGAUUCAGUGUUUGUCACAGCUAUGGCUGGGAUUUGAUCCCUGGGCUGGGAACUUCCAUACAUCUCGAGUGUGGCCACAAAAGAAAAACAAAAAAAGGAUAAAAUGAACCAUGAGACAUGAAUAAAAAUUUCUUGCAAAAUACAAAAUGUUUGAAUACAUUUAAAAUGUUUAUAGCUUCAUGACAAUGCUGGGCAAAUAACUGAUUUUAUUUUCUGGGUUGUACCUAAGCACUUGGUCUUCCAGGUCUUUUAUUCAGAGUAUUUUGUACUUUUUUUAUUUUUUGCUUGUCGAGUCAUCAUUUUGACAUCACUCCUUUUCUUUUUUCACUAAAAUGUCUCACUUCAUUAGGAGAGGGAUCAGUUUCCACACACUCCGGUGGAUGUCUGUAUGAGCUGUACGUUGCGUUGUGAAAGCACACGGCUGUGUGUUCUUGGCUCAUUGUCACAUGUCUGCACAUAGGCAUUCCAAAGUUCUCUGGGAAAUGUGGGUUCACCCCUGGGCCUGGGAGGCCUUGGCCCCUUUCGUCUCCAGGGUUGUGGGUUUCAUAAUAAGAAGCCAACUCCUGGGGCAGCCCAUCGUCGUCUGUCCGCUCCAUAAAGCCCAUCACUGUCUGGAAAAAAUGCUAACACAUUUCAAUCAGUUGAAACCAAACAGCCAACCCUCAAACCAGUUAUUUUAUCUUUCACGGCUAAAAUGUCUUAUGACCAAUUAGUUAUGCAGUGAAAGUCCUUGUGGUGAAAAUGCUUGCAGCAAAGAUGCUUAUGGCGAAAAUACUGGACUGGGGUCCAGACUUACUUUGCGAACAUUUUUCAGUAUGCUGAAGCCUAAAAUCUAUGGGAUAAAUGGAAUAGGCUGAUUCACCGUAUUUUUCUAUAUGAUUUGUCCCUUUUUACAGUUAUAGACGAAACUUCCUUCUACUUUAAGCUUGACAGUACUUGUUUUGUUUGCCCUUUAUUUAUUGACUGUUUGUUUGAUUGAUCGAUUGUCUUUUUAGGGCUAUACCAGCAGCACAUGGAGGUUCCCAGCCUAGAAGCUGAAUUGGAGCUAUAGCUGCUGGCCUACGCCACAGCCACAGCAAUGCCAGAUCCGAGCUGCCUCUGUGACCUACAUCACAGUUCACUGCAGCACCACAUCCUUAACCCACUGAGCGAGGCCAGGGAUAAAACCUGCGUCCUCAGGGACACUAAUCGGGUUCCUUACCACUGAACCAAGACUGGAAUUUCCUGUUUGCCCUUUAUUUUUAAAUAUCAGACAUUUAGAAACAAGAGUUCCUUUCCCUUCUUUCUAGAAUCCCCGUCAUGUCCAGAGACAUGCACAUCGUCUCAGGUUGGGUUCCCCAGGAUCAGCAUGCAGGUGUCUCUUUGGGAUCAAAGUCUGGGGAGAGGAGGGAAGAGAAGGGGAGGGGAGUGGAGGGGAGGGACCCAUCCUGCUUCUCCUCUGCCCAGUCCUAUGAUACUGAACCAACAAAGGCCUCAGCUGAUCCCAUCUGAAGCUCUGAGGCCUCAGCCAGCCCCAUCUGAAACAUCCGAAGUUCUAAUGCCCUUUCAGAGUUGUCUGCGUUGGGGUGAAGGGGCUCUCUGCCUAACCCAGUACUGACCAGUCACCAGAUGUGUAUGACCAAGGAUGAGGUGGCACUCUUCAUCCAGGGCAGUGGGGGACACUGAUGGCCAGUGGUGUUCACUGCAGCUAGGCCAUGUGGUCUUCAGUCCCCGAGGUGCUGAAGGAUCUGGACAGCACAUCAGUGUCCACCACCUGUACCUAGAAUGCAGUGAGGUGGGGGCAGGCAGGGCGGAUCAUCUGCAUGUGGUCAUGGCUGAUCUCAGAGGGCAGAGCCUGUGGUCUCUUGGGUUGAUUUGUUUGUUUGAAUUAAUCAAGGAAGAAUCAUGUUCCUACCAUUGUGCAGGGAAUAAGACAGUGGUUUCCUUUCCACAAGAAUUAUAGGGAACUUGAAACACUUUGGACUGUUUUCCUCUAUUUCCUACAACUGAUAAAAAUUAUUUUCCUCUAGUAUGUUAGGAUGUCAUCAUAGCAACCAGCAUCCUGAGUUAUACUCAUUCUUCCCCUGGGACAGUGGGCCUCCCGUGUGUCUGGAGCACUCACCUGGCCUGGCGCUGUUGUUAUCCUCACAAGGUUGUUGUAUUCGUCUUAUCUCAUUUUCCUGGCAGAGCACCUGGCACUGGAAGGCACUGGCUAAAUGCCCAGUGGCUGACUCCUGAGUGCUGUCCCCCUGGUAGGGCACUGUUUUAUCUUCCUUCCUUCCUUCCUUCAUUCGGCCACUCUGAGUAGCUGUGGCUGCUCCUAAUUCUAAUCCCUAAUCUUACCAAGGUCUCUGGACCUGUUGCUGAUGCUGGUCCCUCUUCCAAAUACUCAUCCUUUUCCUGAUUUCUAUGAUUUCUACUCUAUUUUACUUGAGCUCUAGGGCUUCCUGCAUAACCUCUAUUUGAUCCCUCUGCCUAUUUCAGAGUAACACUUGAUUUUCAAGAACAGCUUUAGGAGUUCCCAUCGUGGCACAGUGGUUAACAAAUCCAACUAGGAACCGUGUGGUUGUGGGUUCGAUCCCUGCCCUUGCUCAGUGGGUUAAGGAUCCAGCAUUGGCAUGAACUGUGGUGCAGGUCGCAGACGCAGCUCAGAUCCCGCGUUGCUGUGGCUCUGGUGUAGGCCGUCGGCUACAGCUCCGAUUGUACCGCUAGCCUGGGAACCUCCAUAUGCCGUGGGAGCAGCUCAAGAAAAGAUUAAAAAAAAAAAUCAAUAACAACUUUAUAAUAUUUAAAGAAAAAAGAACAAAGCAACAGAGCAUGUUUAAACUAUGAACCUUUGGAAGGCCCCUUGGAAUUUAAUUAGUAUCUAGUUAUGCAGGAGAUGCUAUUUGAUUGGCAAAAUGCUCUUUAAGUUUGAUAGUAGAAGGGUGUUCUAGCCUAUUUGCUUGGUUAUCAUUUCUGAAGCCCAAAUCUAACUUAAUUAUAAAUGUGAAUUUAUUGGUUUAUAGAGUUGAGAGUGGAGGGGUGGAGUAUGGCUUCAGGCACAGUUGGAUCUAGAGGCUCAAAUCAAUGCCUCUUGGGCUCUGUGCCCCUUUCUAUGGCUCAGAUCGCUUCCCCUUAUGCUGUGGCUUCUUUCACAGGUGGAGUUUCUUCCUGUGGCAUGAGAUACAAUUAAUGAGAACCCUAAGCUUAUCCUUACCACAACUUAAGAUGGAAAAGAAGGAGAGACCUCCUUUCUCUCUUUCAGCAUCCCUUUUACACGUUUCAAGGGGAAAAUCACACACCCAAAUCCAAGUGAUGCACUGAUGCACCAUUACCAGGUCAUGGAGAAUUCUAAUUUGCCAGCCAGAGGCCUCUGCAUGCCUUGAUUGACAGGUUGACCCAGAUUCUGUGCAUCUGGAGAGUCCUCUUAGAGGAGGGAAUGUUGAGCAACCAAAGUAGCCUCUGUCAUCCAGGUGGGAGAGUGGCUCCUCACUUAGAGAUAUUUCAAGAGGGAAAUAGACAAAGCAGAAAUAGUCAAAAGCCUCUUAUCACAGCUUCAUUAGCUCUAGGAGUCGAAACUUGCAUCCAAAUAUAUUACCUUUCAGAGUCCUCUGGUGGUUCAGUGGGUUAAGGAUCUGGCAUUGUUACUGCUGUGGCUCAAGUUCAGUCCCUGGCCAGGAAAUUCCAAAUGCUCUGGGUACAACCAAACAAUAACAACAAUAGCAGCAACAACAACAACAAUACCCCCCCAAAAAAAAACCUUUCAAAAUACGAAGUCAUAAUAUACAUACUAUUAUAUAUAAAAUACAUAACCAACAAGGGCCUACUGUACAGCAUGGGGAACUACACUCAAUAUUUUGCAAUAACCUCAAAGGGAAAAGAAUCUUAAAAGAAUAUAUGUAUGUAUAUAUUUAUAUGUAUAACCGAAUCACUUUGCUAUACACCUGAAACUACCACUGCAUUGUAAAUUAACUAUAUACUUCAAUAAAAUUUUUUUAAAAAACUGAAAAAAAAAAGUAUGUAGACACAGGACUGCUUCAUGCUCACAUUGUAUUUACUGCCUUCAUUCUGAGGUGUUUGCCCCCUUCCAUUCCCUCCUCACUGGACUGCGAAUCUCUGCGUGUGCCCAGCCUGCAGGAGGCUUGCAUAAUGAUCUGCAAGAGAGGUGAGGAUUUUCUUUGCAGCCCUACUUAAAUAAGAAGAGUGUUUCAGAGUAAGACUGGCCAGGCAGCUCUGCGAGAUUUUUGUCUUUCUGUGGUCAGAUGAACCGGUACGAGAAAUGCUGAAUUUUGGAUAAACAACAAGGUCCUACUGUAGAGCACAGGGGACUGUAUUCAAUAUCCUGAGAUAAA
rnacentral:lncRNA from 1 species